rnacentral:lncRNA from 1 species
GUGGGGUCCUGCCCGUCGGCAAAACUUGGGAGCGUGGCGGAGGCUCGGCCGCCAGGGAGGUUUGAAGAGACGUUGCCAGAGGUCGAAAGUCAGUUGGAUCCCCGGAGGGUCACUCCCGUCACGAACUACGGCUGGGGGGUAUUUUAUACCCAACACCAGUCCCCCUACUUCCGAGUUCGAAUUUCGAAUGAAGGAAGUACAGAAA